rnacentral:rRNA from 1 species
AGAGUUUGAUCAUGGCUCAGAACGAACGCUGGCGGCAGGCCUAACACAUGCAAGUCGAGCGCCCGCAAGGGAGCGGCAGACGGGUGAGUAACGCGUGGGAACGUGCCCUUUGGUUCGGAAUAUUCCCGGGAAACUGGGAGCAAAACCGGAUAAGCCCUUCGGGGGAAAGUUUACGCCAAAGGAUCGGCCCGCGUUAGAUUAGGUAGUUGGUGGGGUAACGGCCUACCAAGCCUACGAUCUAUAGCUGAUCUGAGGGGAUGAUCAGCCACACUGGGACUGAGACACGGCCCAGACUCCUACGGGAGGCAGCAGUGGGGAAUCUUGGACAAUGGGCGCAAGCCUGAUCCAGCCAUGCCGCGUGGAUGACUGAAGGCCCUAGGGUUGUAAAGUCCUUUCGACGGGGACGAUAAUGACGGUACCCGUAGAAGAAGCCCCGGCUAACUUCGUGCCAGCAGCCGCGGUAAUACGAAGGGGGCUAGCGUUGUUCGGAUUUACUGGGCGUAAAGGGCGCGUAGGCGGAUUUUUAAGUCGGGGGUGAAAUCCCGGAGCUCAACUCCGGAACUGCCUUCGAUACUGGAAGUCUGGAGCACGGUAGAGGUGAGUGGAAUUCCGAGUGUAGAGGUGAAAUUCGUAGAUAUUCGGAGGAACACCAGUGGCGAAGGCGGCUCACUGGACCGUUGCUGACGCUGAGGCGCGAAAGCGUGGGGAGCAAACAGGAUUAGAUACCCCGGUAGU